rnacentral:rRNA from 1 species
UGCCAGCCGCCGCGGUAAGACGGAGGGUGCUAACGUUGUUCGGAAUCACUGGGCAUAAAGCGCACGUAGGCGGUCCAGUCAGUCAGAUGUGAAAGCCCCCGGCUCAACCGGGGAACUGCAUUUGAUACUGCUGGACUCGAGGAUGGUUGGGGUGAGUGGAACUCCUGGUGGAGCGGUGAAAUGCGUAGAUAUCAGGAGGAACACCGGUGGCGAAAGCGGCUCACUGGACCAUUUCUGACGCUGAGGUGCGAAAGCUAGGGUAGCGAACGGGAUUAGAUA